rnacentral:tRNA from 1 species
AAUCAGGGUGGCAGAGCCCGGUAACUGCGGGGGACCUAAGCUCCCCUACCCGGAGGUUCAAAUCCUCCCCCUG